rnacentral:miRNA from 1 species
UAAUACUGUCUGGUAAUGCCGC